UCAAAUCAUGCUUAAAACACUGGUUCUCAUUUGAUCACCAAAGUUAAGCAGUGUUGAGCCUAGUCAGUACUUAGAUGGGAGACCACUUGGGAAUACUGGGCAAUGU